AGGUAACCUGCCCAGAAGCGGGGGACAACAUUUGGAAACAGAUGCUAAUACCGCAUAACAACGUUGUUCGCAUGAACAACGCUUAAAAGAUGGCUUCUCGCUAUCACUUCUGGAUGGACCUGCGGUGCAUUAGCUUGUUGGUGGGGUAACGGCCUACCAAGGCGAUGAUGCAUAGCCGAGUUGAGAGACUGAUCGGCCACAAUGGGACUGAGACACGGCCCAUACUCCUACGGGAGGCAGCAGUAGGGAAUCUUCCACAAUGGGCGCAAGCCUGAUGGAGCAACACCGCGUGAGUGAAGAAGGGUUUCGGCUCGUAAAGCUCUGUUGUUAAAGAAGAACACGUAUGAGAGUAACUGUUCAUACGUUGACGGUAUUUAACCAGAAAGUCACGGCUAACUACGUGCCAGCAGCCGCGGUAAUACGUAGGUGGCAAGCGUUAUCCGGAUUUAUUGGGCGUAAAGAGAGUGCAGGCGGUUUUCUAAGUCUGAUGUGAAAGCCUUCGGCUUAACCGGAGAAGUGCAUCGGAAACUGGAUAACUUGAGUGCAGAAGAGGGUAGUGGAACUCCAUGUGUAGCGGUGGAAUGCGUAGAUAUAUGGAAGAACACCAGUGGCGAAGGCGGCUACCUGGUCUGCAACUGACGCUGAGACUCGAAAGCAUGGGUAGCGAACAGGAUUAGAUACCCUGGUAGUCCAUGCCGUAAACGAUGAGUGCUAGGUGUUGGAGGGUUUCCGCCCUUCAGUGCCGGAGCUAACGCAUUAAGCACUCCGCCUGGGGAGUACGACCGCAAGGUUGAAACUCAAAGGAAUUGACGGGGGCCCGCACAAGCGGUGGAGCAUGUGGUUUAAUUCGAAGCUACGCGAAGAACCUUACCAGGUCUUGACAUCUUGCGCCAACCCUAGAGAUAGGGCGUUUCCUUCGGGAACGCAAUGACAGGUGGUGCAUGGUCGUCGUCAGCUCGUGUCGUGAGAUGUUGGGUUAAGUCCCGCAACGAGCGCAACCCUUGUUACUAGUUGCCAGCAUUAAGUUGGGCACUCUAGUGAGACUGCCGGUGACAAACCGGAGGAAGGUGGGGACGACGUCAGAUCAUCAUGCCCCUUAUGACCUGGGCUACACACGUGCUACAAUGGACGGUACAACGAGUCGCGAACUCGCGAGGGCAAGCAAAUCUCUUAAAACCGUUCUCAGUUCGGACUGCAGGCUGCAACUCGCCUGCACGAAGUCGGAAUCGCUAGUAAUCGCGGAUCAGCAUGCCGCGGUGAAUACGUUCCCGGGCCUUGUACACACCGCCCGUCACACCA
rnacentral:rRNA from 1 species